UGUUUUGUGAAAAAAGAGGAGAAACAUCAGGUAGUUAAUAACUUGUGUUUCGAAAAAAUUAUUAAUAUAUAUCAAAAUGAGAAAAAUAAAAAAAAAAUAAGGAUUUUUAAUUUUUUGUUUUAAUUUGUUUGCUUUUUUUUUUAUAUUUAAUAAAACACUCUUUUGUUCAUAAGGAAGAAUUUUCCUUUUUCAUUAAAAGUUUCUUUUCUUUUUGGAAUGUUUUAUAAGAGAGAAUAUUUUUAUGAAAUAAAAUAAUCAGCAUUAUAUAUAUAUGUAUUUAUAUUAUAUAAUAAAUUGUAAAAGCUGAUAAUAUGUUAUAGUACAUAUCAUAUUUAUAUAUAAAAUUAAAAUUUUUAUAUUAAAUUAAAAAGUGAAUAAUAUGUUAUGUUUUUUAACAAACAAAACAUAUAUAAUAAUACAACGAAACAAUUAAAUGCACGAAUAGACCAUGCCACUAAAAAUUUUAUUUUCCUAUAGAAAUUAAUAUUUUGGGGAAAUAUAUGUAACAAAGAAACUUUUGAAAAGAAAUGUUUAACACACACAUAAACACAUAAAGUACUGUUAAUAUGAUAUAUAUUUAUAUUAUUAUUAAUAUGUAUAUUAAUCAAGUGAAAUAGAUACAAAGUUUUUUAUAUAUUUAUAUAUAUUAUUAAUGUGUACAAUAUUUUUAUAUGAAUGUAUAUAUAUAUAUAUAUAUAUAUAUAUUUUAUAUUGCUGUUUUAAGAGAUAAGUUGUUUAUUUUUUUAUAUAUUAUAAAUAUUAUAUAUUUCAUUAUAUAUUUCAUGAAAUUAUUGCUAAAUUUUUAAUAUUUACACAUAAUUGUAAUUUUUAUUAUAUAAUUUAUUUGUUUGUUUUGAUAUCAUAUAAAAAAGAAUACACACGUCACAGUGUUCUUUAUAUAUAAUACAUUAUUUAUAUAUAAGUUUUGUUUUGUUUUAAUAUAAGAAAAAAGCACACGUCGCAGUGUUUUUAUAAUAUAAUAUGUACAUAUUUGUUUUGUUUUGUUGUAAUAAAAAAAAAAAAAGCACACAGUCACAGUGUUUUUAUAAUAUAAUAUAAUAUUUACAUAUUUGUUUUGUUUUGUUUGUUUUAAUGUAAGAAAAAAACACACGUCACAGUGUUUUUAUAAUAUAAUAUUUACAUAUUUAUUUUGUUUGUUUUGAUAUCAUAUAAAAAAGAAUACACACGUCACAGUGUUCCUUAUAUAUAAUACAUUAUUUAUAUAUAAGUUUUGUUUUGUUUUAAUAUAAGAAAAAAGCACACGUCGCAGUGUUUUUAUAAUAUAAUAUGUACAUAUUUAUUUUGUUUGUUUUGAUAUCAUAUAAAAAAGAAUACACACGUCACAGUGUUCUUUAUAUAAUACAUUAUUUAUAUAUUUGUUUUGUUUUGUUUGUUUUAAUAUAAGAAAAAAGCACACGUCGCAGUGUUUUUACAAUAUAAUAUUUACAUAUUUGUUUUGUUGUAAUAUAAAAAAAAACACACGUCACAGUGUUUUUACAAUAUAAUAUUUACAUAUUUGUUUGUUUUGAUGUAAUAUAAAAAAGCACACGUCACAGUGUUUUUUAUUUAAUGUAUUAUUUACAUAUUUGUUUUGUUUUGUUGUAAUAUAAAAAAAAAAGCACACAGUCAUAGUGUUUUUAUAAUAUAAUAUUUACAUAUUUGUUUUGUUUUAUAAAGCACUUGUUUUAUUUUAAUGUUGUUUUAUUGGUUAAUAUUAUUUUAUUUUUAAUAUAUUAUACGUUUUGAAUAUAUGAUAAUCAAUUAUUAAUUAUUUCCAUAUAGAUAUAAUUUUUUCUUUUUUUUUUGAUUAAUAGUCAAUUUUUAUUGUGUUUUAAAUUAGUGUGUUUAGCUUUUGACACUUUUUAUGUGUGUGUGUGUGUGAUUUUGGGUGUAAGAAUAAUAUUUAGUUCAUACUAUUUUAUUAAAAAAACAUAUAUAUAUCUACUCACUAUAUAAAGAAAAUGACUUUCUCGAAGGUUUAUUUUUAUAAUAUAACCAAAACGUGUAAAUAUGAUUAGAAUUAUAAUAAUUUGAAAGAUUUAAAUUUUUUUUUAAAAGUUUGGAUUAAGUAGAAUAGAUAUUAUUAAUAUGUAAAUCAAUUUUUUUUUUUUUUUAUAUAACAUUUUCAUGUUAAUUUUGGAAAACGUUAUUUUUCUAUUUCAUAUUACACAAAAUACAGUUUUGGUUAGCAAAAAUGUUAUAUAAAUAUCUGGGUUUUGAAACGUACAGAAGUAUUUUGUAGUGGGAGAGAGAAAGGUAAUAUAUGAAUAUGGUGGUACUUUAACGUUUUGGUGUAACGCUCCUGUGGUGAAUAGAGUUAUUGGUUUCAACAAUAGUAAAAAGAUUCGUACAGAGAUCACAUAUAUUUAUAUAUAGUGGUCUGAAUUAUCUCUAACACUAUUUGAUUAUUAUUCUGUGUAUACAUUUGGUAGAUUCCCUCCGUAUACUUAAGUAUGUAUUGAAAGAAAAGGCUUAAUAUCAAAACGAUUGAUAGUAUAAAAAGUGAAAUACUUUUAUAUAAAUAUAUAAUAUAUACAUAUCAAUAAAUACAUAUAUAAAAAAUAUAUAUAUAUAUAUAUAUGUAUAUGUUUUGUGUCGAAUUGUAUUCUUUACAAUAUGUACUUUAAGUUAUAUGCAAAAUCACAAGUAUCAUUUGAUAUAUGCAACAUGUAAUAGUCAGCAGAUGACGGAUAAAAAAAAAAUUAUGAAAACUGUAAGUAUUGUUAUGGGUCUAACAGCACCUGCACUGUUGGGGGAUCUUAUUGUUAUUGCUACAAUCUGAAAAAUGUUCCCAUUUUAAGGACAAAAUCUCCUUACUAUGAAGAGAAUUGCCUUCAGCAACAAGGAUCAACUACUAUAUUUGUCAUUGUGAAGGUAUCGUUUCAUCGUAAUAAGUAUCAAACAUUGAUUAGGAAUGAAACUCUUAAAGUAAUAAAUUAUCAUUACUAUUUUGAGUUCUUCUAAUCUUUUAGGAAUACUUAUUGAAUGCAAAUUGAUUUUCUGCGUAGCACUGCUCAAAUAUUAUUAGAAAUUCGCGAAGCUCGGUAGUAAAAUAGUAUGAACAAGGUAGAAAAUGCAUUCAAAGUUAUCACACACACAUAUAUAAAAACAAACAAACAAAAAAAAACAAACAAAAAAAAACAAACAAAAAAAAACAAACAAAAAAAAACAAACAAAAAAGAAACAUUUGUCAUGUAUAUAUAUAUAUAUAUUAAUUUUUUUUAUUUGUUUGUCGUUUUUUAAUAUUUUAUUACUUAUAAUUAGUUAUAUUAUUAAUUUUUUAAAUAAUUUCAUGAUAAAAAUAAAUUGUAAAUUGUUAUGUAUGAAUAAUAAAAUGAUUACGUAUUAUAUAUUAAAUAUAUAUUUGAUUUAUACAUAUUUGAUUGUGUAUUUUUGUAUUUGUGUGUUUUUGGAUGUGUGUGUUUAUUUCAUUUGUGAUUGUGUGUGUGUUAUAGUGUUGCAUAUAAAAAAUUACAGGACCCGAUGUACCUAUUAGGAAAAUGAAUAUGUUGUUAAAGAUUUGUAUUUAUAUUAUGAACAAAUAAUAUAAGGGUAUAAUACAUUUUGCUUUAGAAAGAAUAAAAUGGAUUAUGGGAUAAGGAAUGUGAAUUAUAUGAUGCGGAGGAGAUAUGUAUGAAUAAAUAAUUGUAAUAUGAACGAAUAUAUAUACAAUUAUAGAUAUAUAUGAAUGGCAAUAAGUUGCACUUAAUGAGGUAUAUAGUUUAAUAUUCAUUAUUAAUAAAACAGAAGGAUAUUUAUAAGGCAUAUUAAUAUUAUAUGUUACAAUAUAUAUGAAGAAAGUGAUAUGAUGAAGGGCAUAUCUAUUUACUGGAUGGAUGAAGAUAUAUGAAGGACGAAUUUGGAAGGAUGUGUAUAUUUCUCUUAAAGGAAAAUUAUUAUCUUGGAAUCUAAACAUAUUGAUCAGAAAUUUUUUAUUUUACAUUGGCGAAUGUAUUUUACCCCAAAGGAUUUUAUUUUGCAUAAUAAAUAGUGGAACCUAA